AUUGAACGCUGGCGGCAGGCCUAACACAUGCAAGUCGAACGGUAACAGGAAACAGCUUGCUGUUUCGCUGACGAGUGGCGGACGGGUGAGUAAUGUCUGGGAAACUGCUUGAUGGAGGGGGAUAACUACUGGAAACGGUAGCUAAUACCGCAUAACGUCGCAAGACCAAAGAGGGGGACCUUCGGGCCUCUUGCCAGCGGAUGUGCCCAGAUGGGAUUAGCUAGUAGGUGGGGUAACGGCUCACCUAGGCGACGAUCCCUAGCUGGUCUGAGAGGAUGACCAGCCACACUGGAACUGAGACACGGUCCAGACUCCUACGGGAGGCAGCAGUGGGGAAUAUUGCACAAUGGGCGCAAGCCUGAUGCAGCCAUGCCGCGUGUAUGAAGAAGGCCUUCGGGUUGUAAAGUACUUUCAGCGGGGAGGAAGGGAGUAAAGUUAAUUCCUUUACUCAUUGACGUUACCCGCAGAAGAAGCACCGGCUAACUCCGUG
rnacentral:rRNA from 1 species